CUGAAUGCCUCUAAGUUAGAAGCCCGUCUAGUUAGGUAAACAAUGUUUUGUACCCCGGCUUCGUGUGGUACGUUUAUGCCUCGGCGCUCGCCGCCGUUGCAGCCCUUUUAACCCUUACCUUAUUUGACCUUGCAGGUCGGUUUAAUUACUGGCUUGUUGUCGAAUCCAUACGACUUUGUGUGGUUGAUUGUCAGGGUGUAAGAUCGCUUGUAGACGACUUGACUACUGGUCAGGGGGUUGUACGCAGCAGAGCAGUUAUUACACUGCGAUCUGUUGAGACUAUCCUUUGAUCGGAUGUAUCUGU
rnacentral:ncRNA from 1 species